AGUUUAUCAGUAUGGCAGAAGGACAUUGACGCCUUGGACUUACCUGUUCAAUGUAAAUAAAGAGAAGAAAUUAUAAGCUUAUAAAGAAAAGUCAGUUCAUUGGCAGAGGUAAUUUGACACCAAUGAUGACAUAUUUAUGAAUAAAGACAUUGAAUUUGAUUAAUAAAACACUUAAAAUCAUACUUACAGUCCCUUUAACAAACAAACUGGAACUGCCUGUGCUUUAAACCACACCUUCCAGUCAGUCUGUGUAUGUCCCUUGUGCACCAAAUCCCAUAGCUUUUGCCUAUGCAGUAGUUUAGAUUAUUCUUUUUAAUUCUUGAAAGGCAUGGUCAGCGGUUUGCCUUCUGGACUGAUGAGGCCAGAAGCUUGGUCCAAGGAACUCUUCAGCCUGUCUACAGAGUGCCAAGAUCGAGAGCUGUAUCUAAGAAUGUCCCAGUCCACAUUAAGGCUGUCAGUGACCGCACCACAGUAGAAAAGAGACUGGUAGACUUUAUAGUAAAGUUACAGGGAUCUGAGGAGCAUUUGCUGGGUGUACUCAACGGGAAGCCCUCGAAGUGGUUGCAUAAUGUAACCUCUUCCCGGGUGCCUGUGUACCUCGACAGUGAGGAACAGCAAGACAUUUUGUUUUCUUAUCUGAGAGGAGUGCUGGAUGGGACACCAACACAAUUGAGCUUCACUGAUGAAGUGCAGUUUAUCUGUGAUGUUCUUGUUCCAGAGGCCAUCAUAUAUGCCCUGUCUGUCCUCCGGAAUUUAUCAUUACAGGAGGCUGAGCGGGUCUUCCUUUCUGGUCCACAAUAUGAUUACAGUGAACGGGAAGAAUUUAAUCAAAAGAUUGAAAAACAAUUGAGGAAAGAAGGAAGAUCAUCCAAUUGGAGGGUAUUGCUGUUAUGUACUUACAAAUAUUCUGUCUCUGUCUCUCUCUCUCUCUCUCU